GAUGAAGAACGCAGCGAAAUGCGAUACGUAGUGUGAAUUGCAGAAUUCAGUGAAUCAUCGAAUCUUUGAACGCACAUUGCGCCCUUUGGUAUUCCAAAGGGCAUGCCUGUUCGAGCGUCAUUUGUACCCUCAAGCUUUGCUUGGUGUUGGGGAUCGGCUCUGCCCUCUGGGCGGUGCCGCCCCCGAAAUACAUUGGCGGUCUCGCUGCAGCCUCCAUUGCGUAGUAGCUAACACCUCGCAACUGGAACGCGGCGCGGCCAUGCCGUAAAACCCCAACUUCUGAAUGUUGACCUCGGAUCAGGUAGGAAUACCCGCUGAACUUAAGCAUAUCAAUAAGCGGAGGA
rnacentral:misc_RNA from 1 species